UUUUUUUUUUUUUUUUAACAUGGUCUUCUUAAAAAAAGGCCUCCUGUAGUCAACAAAGAAAAGAGAGGUUUCCACUUUUUUAUAUUAUUAUUAUUAUUAUUUCAGCAAGAAUUUUAUUCUAUCCUGUACAGCAGUUUCUGGGGAAAGUUGCAGAGCUGGGUGCUAUGUUGGUCGGGCUCUAGGGCUGCAUGCAGCUAAGGACUCGAAAGGGAGUUAUAAAUCGGAUGGGUGUAAAUCAAGGAGGCCCCACAGGGGUGAAUUGGGGGUCCGUUUUUUUUUUUCUAUUCCAGCUCCCAAGUGAGGCAUGCUGGGAAUCAACAAUACAGAGCCCCCAGAGAGUGGGAAGCGAGAGGCCAGGAAAAGCCUGGGAUAGGAGAACGCGGGGGACGGGAAGCUGACCCAGAGGCAGAGACGAGCAGAGAGAGAGAGCUUUGGGUCUGGCAAGCAAGGUACAAGCUGGAGUAAACAGCACAAAGACGUUGAUCCAACAGAGAGUACAGGGACAUCAGGCCCUGGCCCCAGCCCCCGCCAGAAGCCAGGUGAGGGGGCGGCUAGGACAGGAAUGGGCCACACGGGUAGGCACAACUCUACAGGUGUCAGAAGAAAAGGUUCUAGAAGCACAAAGCGUGGUCUAGCCCUACGGAAAGGGCAUUGGGAUGAGCUCAUGGACUAGCUGGCAGUCACUGUUCUGUGGGUCAGGGUGCACAGAAGGAGCCCCAUUCACCGUCACCCCUCCCCAGAUCUCAGGGAUGGCCUCUCACGGGACCCAGAGCUCUUUUUUUUUAAGAUUUUAUUUAUUUAUUCAUGCGAGACACACAGAGAGAGGCAGAGGCACAGACAGAGGGAGAAGCAGGCUCCCUGCAAGGAGCCCGAUGUGGGACUCGAUCCCGGGAUCUGACUGCCUGCCCCUAACCCUGACACGUACCCAGGUGACCUCUGGGUUUCUUCCCCACCUGUAGAGCAGGAGACGAUUUGUUUGAUGGGAUGAGCACUGGGUGUUAUUCUAUAUGUUGGCAAAUUGAACACCAAUAAAAAAUAAAUUUAUUAUUAAAAAAAAAAAAAGAAAACCCAUUUGUCUUUUUCAACAGCCUUCUUUCUCUCUCCCUCAGGACCAGAUGCUUCUCCAAAGCAAGUAGCACUUUUUCUGCUUCUUUCUUGCUCUCAUGGAACUUAAUGGAGCAGAGUGGGUGCUUGAACACCACCCAUUAAACAAAUCCUGUCUGGAGGUCUCCACACUGAAUUUAAAGAAGCCCAGCUCGCCGGCACGGGCUGGGGUUCCUCAGCCAAUGGCCAACGUUGUCUCUGGACAACACGUAGGAUGGUUUAAGGGUCGGGAGAGGGACUUGGGAUGUCAGGGGCCUGGUGCCCACAUCUAAUCCAACCGGCGUUGCCAGCGAUCGAACCCAAAUCUGGUUUAAUGCAGUGGGAUCUGCAAAGCCAGUCCCAAGUGACCCUUUAAAAUAAUCAAUCUUUUUUUUUUUUCAAAUCCUCUUUCGUCUUAAAUACCAACCUGAUUCCUUUGCUAACAAACUAGGUGCUUAUUCUGCAAGCCACAAAGCACUGCUGAUUAGUAAUCAGGGAAGCCGAGUAUCUGGAAGGAACUUGAGUGCAGAUUGAGAAGUGAGCCAAUUUGUCUGGGCUCCCUCCCCCCUACUGUCCCCACCAUGAGUUUGGGGGGGAGGAGGAGUCAGGGACGAUGACCUCCAUCUUCAUCCAUAUUUUAUCAACUGGAGAAACAUUAAAGAGAGACGGCGAGUGGUUCUUCCUUGCUCUCCGGGGUGGAAGACGUGGCCACUACACUGGAUUUCUGGACUCCUGAGGCUUGCUGAGGAUGUUCAAGAGGGGGGCAGAAGAUAGAAAUUCUUUAGAGGCCCAGAACCUCAGCCUGUCACUUACUACUUCUGUGAACUCGGGAAAGUCACUGGGCCUCUCAGAACCAGUUACUCACGUGUAAAAUAAGACAAUAUCUACCUCACGGAUUGUUAUAAGGUCAAGUAAGAUAACGAAUAUCCCUAGAACAUAGGGGAUGCUCCAAAGGAUAAGACCACAUUAUCAUUAUCAUAGAGCGGAGAAGCUGGGAUGUAUUGGUUAGCUCUUGCUGCUACAACAAAUUACCUCAGACUUAAGCCAUUGCCAUGGCUUAAGGCAAUGCAAGUGUAUUAUCUCACAGUUCUGUCUGUCAGAAUUCUGACAGGGCCUCUCAGGGCAACAUCGGGGCCCUGGCAGGGCUCACUUGCUCUCUGGAGGCUCUAGAGGAGGGCUGUUACCUCACUCCCUCAGGGGGUUGGCGGCUGGUUCCACGCACACAACCCCUGUAACCAGAACCCGCAAGAGGGCAUCAGAUCCUCCUCAUGCUCCAUUUCUCACACCACAGCCAGGAAAAGCUCUCUGAUUUCAAAGACUCAUGAUUAGAUUGGUCCACUCAGAUAAUCCAAACAAACUUCUCCAUCUCAACUCCUAUAACUUUAAUCAUUCCUGAAAAGUUCCUUUUGCCGAGUCAGGCAGCAUUCACGGUCUCUGGGGGAUCAGAACAUCGACAUCGUGCAGGGACAAAAGCAUUAUUUUGUCUACCACACAAGAGUACUUGUUGAACAAGAACAAUUCACUAAAAUGUGCACUGAUUUAGACUGAGAAUGCUGGGACCCGGGCUGUGGAAAAUUAUGCGUGGCUUAUUUCCACCACUUAGCCUUCUUUUAUUAACUAAAAUUACAUUUUUGCAGAUCAUACGAAGGCAAAACCAUGGUGAUGUUAUAACUUAAAACUGCCCCCUCUUUGUUGGCUUGGACUUUUAACAGUAGACACUUCCUUGGACAGACUCAGCUUAAACCUAAAUGGGGAAAGUGUUGAGAAAUCUGCCCCCCAGCAAAGAGAAGCCAGGGGAUGUUUUCAUCACCCAGAGUCCGCUUCCAUCAGAAAGCUGAAGUGACUUACCCUAGCUACAUUUGUCACGACCUCUCCUCUGCUCCUAUUUUACAAACAGAAACAACUCACUCUUACAAUUCAUGACUGAUGGUGUAGGAAACAGGAGCCAAACAGAUUUUAAAAGACUUGUCCAUCAUCCUUUCUAUAGCUUAUGAGGCAUGGCCAAGCCUCUGCCUUAUUAGUCAAGGGACAUUCUAAGUAACUCCCUAACCAAGCUAAGUAGGCGCCAGUGCCAAAAAAAAAAAAAAGAGUCAAGUGAGAAGACAAAUCCAACACAAUGGACCCCAUGCCUCUUACCACCUAGAAGAGGAGCUGCCUGCCACUCAUAUCAUCACCCAUAGCAAGACGCCCCUUCAAUCCAUGCCCUCUCCCCUUCUCUAAAUUGGAUUUAUAAUCUCCAGCCCCUUAUUCAGAAUCUCAGGUACGGGUCAAUGGCUGUCACUGUGAAAAACAAGAAAAAAGAAAAGCUUACCACUUCCUAAUGCUUUUUAGCUCCAAGGCACAACAGUAUCCUUUCUAUAUUUUUUUUUUCAACAAAAGCUUCAAAUGAAAUGAUAAUGUUAAUUUAUCUGAGAUUAUUGGCUGGAAAAGAGCAAAGUGCCAGCGUACAGCAGUUACAACCCAGCAGAGGAGCCCUCGAAGAGCAUGGGUGUGCUGGGGAAGGAGUGAUAUCCCUAUUGUUACAUUAGAAUCCUAUUUAUAUUUCAGCCAACAACUUAAAAUAGGCCAGCUGAAGCCAGGCCCCCUAAACUUACUAUAAUCCUCACAACUAUCUCUGUGAGAUAAUGAGUUUCGCAAGCAUGUGUGAAUUGGACUAAGGAAGCUACAGGGAGUCUCUCUCAGUCAAUAUUUUCAUAGAAAGUCACUUCACAGAAAGGCCCAGGGUGUGACCUAAGCCAAUAAAUGAUUAUCCUUCGCUACUAAAAGCAGGACCCUAAUUAACUUGCUAAUUGUUGGUCUCUGUUCACGGACAUUAACCUGAGUUAUCCCACCAUAUACACCUGUAAGUAAAUUACAAGCUCUAUACUCAAGAUGAACCUUCUGUCCUAGUGGAUAAAUGUGACUUCAAUGUGUCAGCCACACAUAAUUCUUUUAAGUGACCAAGUGUAUAAGAUUCUAUUAUGGGCACUUCUCCAAGCAAAUUAAAUGGACACAAGAUCCCUCUAAUAAUUUAUUUCCUCAGUAGAGUCUGUGGGCAUUACUCUUUGAAAGGCACAGUCUCCUUGUUCCUACAUUUUUCUGUUGUUACCAUAAGAGCCACCCUUGCUGGCUUUCCACUGACCCAACAGCAUAAGCUAAACAUGGUAUGUUCAUUAUCUAACUUAUUCCCCACAAUGACCUAUGAGGUAUAUUAUUUUUAUGCCCAUUCUAUAAAGAAACAAAGUUCAGAGAGUUCCAGUGACUUAUCUUAGCAAAUACUGUUUAUAUCCCCUCUACGAGGACUGAAUCUUUGUGACCACCUCAAAAUGCCUAUGUUAAAAUCCUAACCUCCAAGGUGAUGGUAUUAGUAGGUGGCGUUUUGGGAGAUGAUUAGGUCAUGAAGUUUGAGCCUACAGAAACGGGAUUCGUAUCUUUUAUAAAAGGGACUCCCAAAUGUUUGCCAUAUGAGGAUAUAACGAGAGGUCUGAAACUGGAAAGGGGUCCUUACCAGACCCUGACUACCCUGGCAUCUGGAUCUCCGGCUUCCAGCCUCCAGAACUGUGAGGAAUAAGCAUCUGUUAUUUAUAAGUCACCUCGUCUAUGAUACUUUGUUAUAGCAGCCCAAGCUAAGAGACCCUCCGUGACCACUGGUUAGCAUACUUAGAUUCUUCCUACAAGCCAAGACCCUUUGCCUGAGGGUUCAGAAUGCCUCUGGGCCCACUGAGUAGCACCGUAUGAAAGUGCCAAAAUGCUGACAUUCCCUGUCCCAGGAGCAGCCCUCAAAUAAUGGCAGAUGUAAUUGGUGGAUAAUACUUGAGCCUCCUCUGC
rnacentral:lncRNA from 1 species